GCCAGUGUGGUGUAGUGGUUUGAUCAUUGGACUGUGACUCUGCAGACCAAGGUUUGAAUCCUGGCACAUCUA
rnacentral:tRNA from 1 species